AUGAACGCUGGCGGCGUGCCUAAUACAUGCAAGUCGAGCGAACAGACGAGGAGCUUGCUCCUCUGACGUUAGCGGCGGACGGGUGAGUAACACGUGGAUAACCUACCUAUAAGACUGGGAUAACUUCGGGAAACCGGAGCUAAUACCGGAUAAUAUAUUGAACCGCAUGGUUCAAUAGUGAAAGACGGUUUUGCUGUCACUUAUAGAUGGAUCCGCGCCGCAUUAGCUAGUUGGUAAGGUAACGGCUUACCAAGGCAACGAUGCGUAGCCGACCUGAGAGGGUGAUCGGCCACACUGGAACUGAGACACGGUCCAGACUCCUACGGGAGGCAGCAGUAGGGAAUCUUCCGCAAUGGGCGAAAGCCUGACGGAGCAACGCCGCGUGAGUGAUGAAGGUCUUCGGAUCGUAAAACUCUUUUAUUAGGGAAGAACAAAUGUGUAAGUAACUAUGCACGUCUUGACGGUACCUAAUCAGAAAGCCACGGCUAACUACGU
rnacentral:rRNA from 1 species